GCCGGGUGUGGUGGCACACACCUGUAAUCCCAGUUACUCGGGAGGCUGAGGCAGGAGAAUCGCUUGAACCCGGGAGGCAGAGGUUGCAGUGAGCUGAGAUCUUGCCACUGCACUCCAGCCUGGGCAACAGAGUGAGACUCUGUCUCAA
rnacentral:SRP_RNA from 2 species